UACGUAGGGGGCAAGCGUUGUCCGGAUUUAUUGGGCGUAAAGAGCGUGUAGGCGGCUAUACAGGUCCGCUGUGAAAUCCCGAGGCUCAACCUCGGGUCUGCAGUCGAUACGGGCAAACUGGAGUGUUGCAGGGGAGACUGGAAUUCCUGGUGUAGCGGUGAAAUGCGCAGAUAUCAGGAGGAACACCGAUGGCGAAGGCAGUUCUCUGGGCCGUAACUGACGCUGAGGAGCGAAAGCGUGGGGAGCGAACAGG
rnacentral:rRNA from 1 species